rnacentral:rRNA from 1 species
AACCUGCCCUUGGGACGGAGAUAACCCCGGCAAACUGGGGCUAAUUUCCGAUAGGUGAAGACUCCUGGAAUGGAUCUUCGCCGAAAGGGCGUCUAGACCAUGCUUCUAGGCGCUGCCCAAGGAUGGGGCCGCGGCCGAUCAGGUUGUUGGUGAGGUAACGGCUCACCAAGCCUUUGACCGGUGCGGGCCGUGAGAGCGGGAGCCCGGAGAUGGGCACUGAAACAAGGGCCCAGGCCCUACGGGGCGCAGCAGUCGCGAAAACUCACCAAUGCACGAAAGUGCGAGUGGGCCAUCCCGAGUGCCGUCCGCUGAGGACGGCUUUUCCCCAGUGUACACAGCUGGGGGAAUAAGGAGAGGGCAAGCCUGGUGUCAGCCGCCGCGGUAAUACCAGCUCUCCGAGUGGUGGGGACGCUUAUUGGGCCUAAAGCAUCCGUAGCCGGCUGGGCAAGUCCUCCGUUAAAUCCAACGAUUCAAUCGUUGGACUGCGGGGGAUACUGUCCAGCUUGGGGGCGGGAGAGGCCGACGGUAUUCCCGGGGUAGGGGUGAAAUCCUAUAAUCCCGGGAAGACCA